rnacentral:rRNA from 1 species
CGUCUUGAAACACGGACCAAGGAGUCUAGCAUGUGCGCGAGUCAUUGGGAGACAAUACACCCAGAGGCGCAAUGAAAGUGAAAGCGUCGCCCGCCUCGGCGGACGGUCGCGCAGGGAAGAUGCGCGGGCGGCGUCCGCCGCCCCGCCGCAUUCCCGAGGCGUUUCGAGAAAGCCACCGCGCGAUUAUCGAGACGCACUGAGAGCGUACACGCUGGGACCCGAAAGAUGGUGAACUAUGCCUGGUCAGGUCGAAGUCAGGGGAAACCCUGAUGGAGGACCGAAGCGAUUCUGACGUGCAAAUCGAUCGUCGGAACUGGGUAUAGGGGCGAAAGACUAAUCGAACUAUCUAAUAGACUGAGUCCU